rnacentral:rRNA from 1 species
GAAAUUAUCGAAGAAUGAGUGACAGUAGAUAAUGUAAGCCUCGGCUAACUACGUGCCAGCAGCCGCGGUAAUACGUAGGAGGCAAACGUUGCUCGGAUUUACUGGGCGUAAAGGGUGAGUAGGCGGAACUAUAAGUCUAAGGUGAAAUAUCGAAGCUCAACUUCGGAGACGCCUCGGAUACUGUAGUUCUUGGAUAUUGUAGGGGAUGAUGGAAUUCUCGGUGUAGCGGUGGAAUGUAUAGAUAUCGAGAAGAACACCUAUAGCGAAGGCAGUCAUCUGGGCAUUUAUCGACGCUGAAUCACGAAAGCUGGGGGAGCAAACAGGCUUAGAUACCCUGGUAGUCCUAGCCGUAAACGUUGUACACUAGGUGCUUCUAUUUAAAUAGAAGUGCCGUAGCUAACGUCUUAAGUGUACCGCCUGAGGAGUAUGCCCGCAAGGGUGAAACUCAAAGAAAUUGACGGGUCCCCGCACAAGUGGUGGAGCAUGUGGUUUAAUUCGAUGAUACGCGAAAAACCUUACCUGGGUUUGAAUUGUUAGAUGAAUGAUUUAGAGAUAAGUCAGACCGCAAGGACGUUUAACAUAGGUGCUGCAUGCCUGUCGUCAGCUCGUGUCGUGAGAUGUUGGGUUAAGUCCCGCAACGAGCGCAACCCUCACCCUCUGUUGCUACCGAGUAAUGUCGAGCACUCUUAGGGGACUGCCUACGUUCAAGUAGGAGGAAGGUGGGGAUGAUGUCAAGUCCUCAUGGCCCUUAUGUCCAGGGCUACACACGUGCUACAAUGGCAAGUACAAAGAGAAGCAAGACCGCGAGGUGGAGCAAAACUCAAAAAAGUUGCCUCAGUUCGGAUUGGAGUCUGAAACUCGACUCCAUGAAGUUGGAAUCACUAGUAAUCGUAGAUCAGAACGCUACGGUGAAUACGUUCCCGGGGAUUGUACACACCGCCCGUCACGCCAUCGGAGUUGGUUUUACCUGAAGCCGUUAGCCUAACCGCAAGGAGGGCGGCGUCGAAGGUGGGACUGAUGAUGAGGGUGAAGUCGUAACAAGGCAGCCGUACCGGAAGGUGUGGCUGGAUCACCUCCUUU